GAUCUGAAAUCAGGUAGGAUUACCCGCUGAACUUAAGCAUAUCAAUAAGCGGAGGAAAAGAAACUAACAAGGAUUCCCCUAGUAACGGCGAGUGAAGCGGGAAAAGCUCAAAUUUUAAAUCGAAUGGGGUACCCUAUUCGAGUUGUAUUUUCAAGAGACGUUUUCGGAUCGCGCCUGGGUAUAAGUCCUUUGGAACAGGGCAUCAUAGAGGGUGAGAAUCCCGUUUAUGACCCGGAGCGGCGGUCUAUGUGAUACGUUUUCAAAGAGUCAGGUUGUUUGGGAAUGCAGCCUAAAAUGGGUGGUAAAUUUCAUCUAAAGCUAAAUAUUGGCGAGAGACCGAUAGCGAACAAGUACCGUGAGGGAAAGAUGAAAAGAACUUUGAAAAGAGAGUUAAACAGUACGUGAAAUUGUUGAAAGGGAAACGUUUGAAAUCAGUCAUGUAAACGAGUAAUCAGCUUGGCUUUUGCCUUGUGCACUUUCUCGUUCGCAGGUCAACGUCAGUUUUGAUACUAGUCGGAUAAAAAAUCAAGGGAAUGUGGCUCUCUUUCACGAGGGGGUGUUAUAGCCCUGGUUAAAAUACGAUGAUUAAGACUGAGGUCUGCAGCCAAUACCCUUCAUGGGCUGGGUAUUUCUUUUGCUCAUAGGUAACCGAGUUUAGACAGCUUGCUGACUAGAUUUGAAUUGCUUGUGACUCGAAGGAUUUUAUCACAAAUUGGCUUAGGUCGCUGACKUAAUG
rnacentral:rRNA from 1 species